GACGAACGCUGGCGGCGUGCUUAACACAUGCAAGUCGAACGAAGUGGCGAACGGGUGAGUAAUGCUUGGGAAUCUGGCUUAUGGAGGGGGAUAACUACGGGAAACUGUAGCUAAUACCGCAGGAUGAGCCCAAGUGGGAUUAGGUAGUUGGUGAGGUAAAGGCUCACCAAGCCGACGAUCUCUAGCUGGUCUGAGAGGAUGACCAGCCAAACUGGGACUGAGACACGGCCCAGACUCCUACGGGAGGCAGCAGUGGGGAAUCUUCCGCAAUGGACGAAAGUCUGACGGAGCAACGCCGCGUGAGUGAUGACGGCCUUCGGGUUGUAAAGCUCUGUUAAUCGGGACGCGGUACCGGAAUAGAAAGCCACGGCUAACUACGUGCCAGCAGCCGCGGUAAUAC
rnacentral:rRNA from 1 species